rnacentral:rRNA from 1 species
CCUACGGGAGGCAGCAGUGGGGAAUAUUGGACAAUGGGCGAAAGCCUGAUCCAGCAAUGCCGCGUGAGUGAUGAAGGCCUUAGGGUUGUAAAGCUCUUUUACCAGGGAUAAUAAUGACAGUACCUGGAGAAUAAGCUCCGGCUAACUCCGUGCCAGCAGCCGCGGUAAUACGGAGGGAGCUAGCGUUGUUCGGAAUUACUGGGCGUAAAGCGUACGUAGGCGGUUAUUCAAGUCAGAGGUGAAAGCCUGGAGCUCAACUCCAGAACUGCCUUUGAAACUAGAUAGCUAGAAUCACGGAGAGGUUAGUGGAAUUCCGAGUGUAGAGGUGAAAUUCGUAGAUAUUCGGAAGAACACCAGUGGCGAAGGCGACUAACUGGACGUGUAUUGACGCUGAGGUACGAAAGCGUGGGGAGCAAACAGGAUUAGAUACCCUGGUAGUCCACGCCGUAAACGAUGAUAACUAGCUGUUCGGUCUCUACGAGACUGAGUGGCGCAGCUAACGCAUUAAGUUAUCCGCCUGGGGAGUACGGUCACAAGAUUAAAACUCAAAGGAAUUGACGG